AACAACGACGACUGGGGGAGGGGAGCUCCCGUGUGGAAGGGAGAGAGGGACUAGGAGUUGGCGGUUGGCAUAAACUGGUUUGUGACUGGAUCAAAUGGCAACUCACGUAGGAUUAGAGGAUGACGAAGAUCAAGAUGAUAGGGCUUUUGGUGACUGGACGUCAGUGU